rnacentral:lncRNA from 1 species
UGGUGGGUGAACAAUCCAACACUUGGUGAAUUCUGCUUCACAAUGAUAGGAAGAGCCGACAUCGAAGGAUCAAAAAGCAACGUCGCUAUGAACGCUUGGCUGUCAUCAGUAGGGUAAAACUAACCUGUCUCACGACGGUCUAAACCCAGCUCACGUUCCCUAUUGGUGGGUGAACAAUCCAACACUUGGUGAAUUUCGCUUCACAAUGAUAGGAAGUGCCGAUAUCGAAUGAUCAAAUAUAAACUUCGCUAUAUAGCUUGGCUGUCACAAGCUAGUUAUCCUUGUGGUAACUUUUCUGACACCUCUAGCUUAGAAUUCCUAAGGUCUAAUGGAUCGUUAGGCCACGCUUUAACGAUUCGUAUUCGUACUGGAAAUCAGAAUCAAACGAGCUUUUAUCCUUCUGACCCACACGAUUUUUCAAUUCUCGUUGAGCUCAUCUUAGGACACCUGCGUUAUCUUUUAACAGAUGUGUCGCCCCAGCAAAACUCCCCACCUGACAUUGUCUUCCCCCCGGAUCGGCCCGCGAAGCGAGCCUUGGGUCCAAAAAUAGGGGUAGUUCCCCGCUUCCGAUUCACGGAAUAAGUAAAAUAACGUUAAAAGUUUUGGUAUUUCACUUUCACCUUUCGACUCCCAAUUAUACUACACCUCUGAAGUCAUUUCACAAAGUCGGACUAGACUCAAGCUCAGUAGGGUCUUCUUUCCCCGCUGAUUCUGCCAAGCCUGUUCCCUUGGCUGUGGUUUAACUGUAUAUUAGACAAGGACAGUGGGAAUCUUCUUAAUACAUUCAUACGCAUCACUAAUAAGAUGACGAGGCAUUUGGCUACCUUAAGAGAGUCAUAGUUACUCCGGUCGUUUACCCCCGCAUGGUUGAAUUUCUUCACUUUGACAUUUAGAGCACCGGACAAAAAUAACUUUGCGUAAACAUUUGUUGGGACCAUCGCAAUGCUUUGUUCAAAUUAAAUAGUCGAAUUCCCCUUGUCUAUACCAGUUCUGAGUUGGUUGUUUGACUCCCGGGGAAGGCCCCCGAAAGAACCUUUUCCAGUCCGUCCCACGGUCGGCACACGGUGACCCGCUAUUUCUGUGGGAUCCGCUCAAGCAGUCCACCGACAGCCAGUGGGUUCGGGACUGGGACCCCCAUGCCAAACCCUCAAAGCCAAUUCUUUUCCCGAAGUUACGGAUCCAUUUUGCCGACUUUCCUUGCCUACAUUGUUCCAUCAACUAGAGGUUGUUCACUUUGGAGACCUGAUGCGGUUAUGAGUACGACCAAGCGUGGACAACAUUCGGUCCUCUGGAUUUUAAAGGGUCGCCGGGAGUGCACCGGACACCACGCGACGUGUGGUGCUCUUCCAGCCGUUGGACCCUACCUCCGGCAGAGCCGAUUCCAUGGUGGGCAUGCUGUUAAACAGAAAAGACAACUCUUUCCGAGGCUCCCACCGACAUCUGCCGACUUUCUAACAUUGUCGUGAACCUUCACGUCCCGAUUCAGGAAUCUUAACCCGAUUCCCUUCCGGGGUACGCGCGAAAUGCAUUAUCUGUUUGGGUUCCCUCGACCCAUAGGAUCGACUAACCCAUGUGCUAGUGCCAUUCACAUUGAACCUUUCCCCUUUUCACCCUUCAAAGUUCUCAUUUGAAUAUUUGCUACUACCACCAAAAUCUGCACUAACAGCUGCUCCGCCCAGGGUCAUGCCCAAGGUUUUGCCGUUGACCGACGUUUCUUGCAUGAUGCACACAUGACACAUCUGAUGCAUGCAGGCCUUCGCUGAUUGCUAUCUGCCGUUUCGCCGACGUUGCUUGACCGAUACGCACAUGCCGCUUCCUAUGCGUGUUGGCAUGGACUGAUGUCGUAUGUCGUUGGCCUACGUCGCCUGUCCGAUGCGUGCAGAAUUUGGCUGAUCUCGCCUGUCCCCAGACAUGGAAUGCCCGUGCUGCCUACAUAGACAUAUAUUGCCCUUGACAUCUUACUUGGAUUUAGAAUCGCCCCUGACAUCGCGAAAAACCUCUUAUAGCGACAUAUUUAUUAGUCCCUUAACAUGUCAUUAGACAUGAAAAAUAAACCCAUCGUCACGAAAAACCUCGCAAUACGUCAUCGCUAUUGAACAAGUGUUUGAUCAGCAUAGAACGUAUAGUUCAACACAUAGCAGUAGAGUAGUAAAUUUCAUGGACCAUGUUAUUCUCGGAACUUAUAUUUCAACAGUUAGUGGGUUUUUUCCUUCCAAGUAUGCAAGCCUGACAUAAACCUCUCAUUUGAAAUGUUAGAAAUAAUUGGAUUUGAGGUUAGGGGAGGGGGAAGGUGGGGAGGACGAAUCGAAGUGACAAAGGGUUGUAUCUCAGUGGAUCGUGGCAGCAAGGCUACUCUUCCACUUACAAUACCCCGUCGUGUAUUAAUGUCUUCUGCAAAGGAUACUACCCACCGUUCGAUGGAAAUUGUACUUCAACGAAGUCACCGCGACGCUUCCAUCGCGGUGACUUAGCCAACAAAACGAUCCCUUGGGUGCUAAAGGCCCCUACUGCGGGUCGGCAAGCGGACAGCGGGCGCAUGCGUCGCUUCUUGCCUGGAUUCUGACUUAGAGACGUUCAGUCAUAAUCGAGCACACGAUAGCUUCGUGCCACUGGCUUUUCAACCAAGCGGGAUGACAAAUUAUGUGAAUUAACGGUUCCUCUCUUACUAGGUCUAAUUACUAUUGCGACACUGUCAUCAGUAAGGUAAAACUAACCUCUCUCACGAUGGUCUAAACUCAGCUCACGUUCCCUAUUUGUGGGUGAACAAUCCAACACUUGGUGAAUUUUGCUUCACAAUGAUAGGAAGAGCCGACAUCGAA